rnacentral:rRNA from 1 species
GAUGAACGCUAGCGGCAGGCCUAAUACAUGCAAGUCGAACGGUGUCUUCGGACAUAGUGGCGCACGGGUGCGUAACACGUAUGCAACCUACCUUACAUUGGGGGAUAGCCUUUCGAAAGGGAGAUUAAUACCGCAUAAGACAGUAGCUGGGCAUCCAGCAGCUGUUAAAGAGUUAUCGAUGUAAGCUGGGCAUGCGUCCAAUUAGCUAGUUGGUGAGGUAACGGCUCACCAAGGCAAUGAUUGGUAGGGGAACUGAGAGGUCAAUCCCCCACACUGGCACGGAGAUACGGGCCAGACUCCUACGGGAGGCAGCAGUAGGGAAUAUUGGGCAAUGGACGCAAGUCUGACCCAGCCAUGCCGCGUGCAGGAUGAAGGCGUUAUGCGUUGUAAACUGCUUUUAUACAGGAAGAAACGACUCUUGCGAGAGGCAUUGACGGUACUGUAUGAAUAAGCACCGGCUAACUCCGUGCCAGCCGCCGCUGUAACAC